rnacentral:lncRNA from 1 species
CCCCCCACACCUACUCUCUCUUGUUUUAUGUGACAAAACCUUCUCUCCCAGGCCUUCACACAUGCCCAAUGCUUUCCACUCUUUCUCUCUUACAUAGAAUGUGGUUGUGGACCAAGCCAAAGUAAGAAUUUGUUUGGAUUUCAAAUUCUAUGAGAUACAAUUUUAGGAAACCAAAACUCUUUCCUUAUGGCAUUGGUUUUAUCUAAAUUUUUUUUGAGAUUUUUAUGGAUUUUAUAGAAUAUAUUAUGCACCAUUUACUGAUAGUCUAUGAUAAAAAAAGAAGGAGGAGGCACCCAAG